GGUGAACGCUAGCUACAGGCUUAACACAUGCAAGUCGAGGGGAAACGAUAUUGGAAGCUUGCUUCCGAUAGGCGUCGACCGGCGCGCGGGUGAGUAACGCGUAUCCAACCUGCCCACCACUUGGGGAUAACCUUGCGAAAGUAAGACUAAUACCCAAUGAUAUCUCAAGAAGACAUCUGAAUGAGAUUAAAGAUUUAUCGGUGAUGGAUGGGGAUGCGUCUGAUUAGCUUGUUGGCGGGGUAACGGCCCACCAAGGCGACGAUCAGUAGGGGUUCUGAGAGGAAGGUCCCCCACAUUGGAACUGGGACACGGUCCAAACUCCUACGGGAGGCAGCAGUGAGGAAUAUUGGUCAAUGGGCGGGAGCCUGAACCAGCCAAGUAGCGUGCAGGAUGACGGCCCUAUGGGUUGUAAACUGCUUUUAUAAGGGAAUAAAGUGAGCCUCGUGAGGCUUUUUGCAUGUACCUUAUGAAUAAGGACCGGCUAAUUCCGUGCCAGCCGCCGCCGUAA
rnacentral:rRNA from 1 species